AUACGGAGGGAGCGAGCGUUAAUCGGAAUUACUGGGCGUAAAGCGCGCGUAGGCGGCUUUGUAAGUCGGAUGUGAAAGCCCUGGGCUCAACCUGGGAAUGGCAUUCGAUACUGCAGAGCUAGAGUAUGGUAGAGGGAAGUGGAAUUUCCGGUGUAGCGGUGAAAUGCGUAGAUAUCCGGAGGAACAUCAGUGGCGAAGGCGACUUGCUGGACUAAUACUGACGCUAAGGAGCGAAAGCGUGGGGAGCAAACGGGAUUAGAUACCCCAGUAGUCC
rnacentral:rRNA from 1 species